rnacentral:rRNA from 1 species
AUUGAACGCUGGCGGCAGGCCUAACACAUGCAAGUCGAACGAGUGGCGGACGGGUGAGUAAUGUCUGGGAAACUGCCUGAUGGAGGGGGAUAACUACUGGAAACGGUAGCUAAUACCGCAUACCAUCAGAUGUGCCCAGAUGGGAUUAGCUUGUUGGUGGGGUAACGGCUCACCAAGGCGACGAUCCCUAGCUGGUCUGAGAGGAUGACCAGCCACACUGGAACGGAGACACGGUCCAGACUCCUACGGGAGGCAGCAGUGGGGAAUAUUGCACAAUGGGCGCAAGCCUGAUGCAGCCAUGCCGCGUGUAUGAAGAAGGCCUUAGGGUUGUAAAGCUCUUUUACCCGGGAUGCAGUACCGGGAGAAUAAGCUCCGGCUAACUCCGUGCCAGCAGCCGCGGUAAUUC